GCUUUGUGGGAAAUAAGAUGCUGCCCUGGCUAACGUGCUCUUCCCUGUUUGCAGGUUAGGAGGGGCCUCAGGCUGGACAGCAGCUCAGGUUCCUGGUGCUGCAGGCUCGGAGGUUGUGCUUGCCAUCGAGGGACGUCUCCCCCCUUCGGAAGAGGCAGUUCCAGCCCAUCCCUCACCAUCGUGAACUGUGACCGAUCUCCACCUCCUGCUGCACCUGAGAGCUCCCCUGGACACCGCGGUGCCCCCAGGCCAUUGCAUGUCCCCUCGGUGUGUUCCCUGCCGUGACCAGACCUGUCCCACCCGGCUCAGCGAGCCACGGGAGGCUCAAAAAGCAUCGAAACAAAGCUGACAGGACACUG